UACGUCACAUGCUUUAUUUUUGCUGUUUCUUUAGUAGUAUCCUGUUGUAUAUGAUCUAUGUUAAUUGAUUGUGGUGUUCGGCCAAAUUUUAGAUUUCUAGACAGACUAGUCAAUUCAUUAGAGGAAAAGAAACAUCAUGAAGUCAAGUUGAGAGAAGGGUUGAAGGACUUGGCUGCUAAACGGAUGGAACUGCAAAAUUCUCUAUCUUCUUCAUGGUCCAAGCAAGAUGCGGCUGUGGCAAAAACAAAGGAGUUGAAAAAACUAUGUGAGAGUACACUUUCAUCGAUGUUUGAUGGAAGACCAGUUAAUAUAAUUGGAGAGAUCAACGCCAUUUUGACUAGUGGCGUUGGAGCAUGAGGAAGAGGAAUUUACUUUCAUGAUGAUCAAGCUUAUAGGUGGACAGUGGCGGGCCAAAAUAACUUUAGAAAAAUUUCUUUUAGUUUUUUUUUUUUCUUUUUCUGCAGUUGUGCCAUAUUGAUUUUACAAGCAGAAGAUACCAGUGAAGGCAGCUUUUGUGGUUAAUUACUAGCAUUACUUUUGAAUUCAAGUAUGGAUAUGACCGAGUUGUUAGUAAUGUAGGUGACCACUAAAAGUUUGCAUAAUGUUGCGAAAUAUCUGAUUCACUACUAUCAAAUAUCAAAAUCAUUAGUGAAUAAUAUUGCGAAAUAUCAGUUCAUGUCGAGACAUGUCAUUGAAGACAAGGACUAUUUUGACUGCGAGGAAUAUGCGGAAACUGAAGAAGUUAAAGCAACUAGCACAAGUCAACAGACUAAAGGGUAUAUGCUGCGUGACGCCACUUUGUUACUUGAUUUAUGCAAUUAUAUUCAAUUUGUCCA